rnacentral:rRNA from 1 species
AUGAACGCUGGCGGCGUGCCUAAUACAUGCAAGUCGAGCGAACGGACGAGAAGCUUGCUUCUCUGAUGUUAGCGGCGGACGGGUGAGUAACACGUGGAUAACCUACCUAUAAGACUGGGAUAACUUCGGGAAACCGGAGCUAAUACCGGAUGAUAUUUUGAACCGCAUGGUUCAAAAGUGAAAGACGGUCUUGCUGUCACUUAUAGAUGGAUCCGCGCUGCAUUAGCUAGUUGGUAAGGUAACGGCUUACCAAGGCAACGAUGCAUAGCCGACCUGAGAGGGUGAUCGGCCACACUGGAACUGAGACACGGUCAAGACUCCUACGGGAGGCAGCAGUAGGGAAUCUUCCGCAAUGGGCGAAAGCCUGACGGAGCAACGCCGCGUGAGUGAUGAAGGUCUUCGGAUCGUAAAACUCUGUUAUUAGGGAAGAACAUAUGUGUAAGUAACUGUGCACAUCUUGACGGUACCUAAUCAGAAAGCCACGGCUAACUACGUG